rnacentral:lncRNA from 1 species
GGAUGUUGCUAUUCGCUGUUUAGUUCCUCUCAUUCUUUCCUCUGUGCAUUAGUAUCAAGUUCAAAGUUUCUCUCCUAAUGCUGACGGCUAUUUCUGUUUAGCGUCCUCCUUGGUAGCGGGGCUUGUGCAAGUAUAACCCCGGUGUAUAAUGGCAACGGAAUCAUAAUAAAUGGGGGAUAUAAACUCUGACUUUUUAUGUGUGCCAGCAGGAAGAGGAGCAGUCUCUGGGGAAUGUCUUGGGGGGAAAUGUUGACAAAAUGCAGCUGACAAGGAGAAUAUUAGAUCUGAAACAGGUGAGCGUUAUAAAGGAACGAGCAAAAGAACUAUUAAUAAUUAACAGAGAAACAAUACACAUGCUAAACCACAUUCUGGAGAUAAACCUAUACACAUUCCCACAUGUGAACGGUUUAUAUUGUAUUUUCUUCAGACGUUACCGAGUAAUUUAUCUUUGGCUGACUGUAAUUUGUCUCCCGGGGGGGUGUAUGGUAAAGACAGGUGAGGUCAUAGUUGGCUUGUGUUCCCCCGUGUCCAUGCAGGAUGAGCUGCUGUACAGAAACCUCCACGAGGAGAUCAACCACUUGGCCCUAAAACUGGAGAAACAAGGGAAGACAGAUGGCAAAAACAUCUCCACCCGGAGGAAGCACAUCAAUAAAAUGUGGCUCAAGGUCCAGUCUCAUCUGAAAAACUACCAUGAAAAUCUUCAGCUGGCUCUGGAGGUGUCCUCCUUCUACCAGCAGGCCGAUAACACGCUGGUCGCAAUAAACAAUAUGAGCAAAAGCAUAUGUGCGUCCAAAGAAUGGGACGGCUUCGGAGACAGAGAAAUCCGUGACAUUGCCAGUCAAAUCAUGAUGCUUGACGUGAGCGUGUCCCAGCUGUCGAAUCUCCAUCCUGCCCUGGCCACUGGCGUGACGCAGAAGCAGAGUGAGGUGAAGGACUGCUGGGCAAUUCUUCAUAAAGUUUUCAGGGAAGAUGCUGACCCCCUGACACUGGUGCGUGAACCCCAGGGCAAUGUGGGAACAGAGACACAAAGGAUCAUGGGAAAGGAGGUGAAGGAGGAACAGAAUCGCCUGAAAGGCUGUGUGGUGAGUGGCUGCCUUAUUUCGUUCUAUUACUGGAGAAACCGCACUGUGGCUCUUGACUGCGAGAGAACAACGCCAUCGGUGCUGGCGAAAGAUGAGGUCAGCCUCUUCCAGUACUACGACAUCUGUGGCUGCACAAAGUGA